AUAUCAAUAAGCGGAGGAAAAGAAACUAACAAGGAUUCCCCUAGUAACUGCGAGUGAAGCGGGAAGAGCUCAAAUUUAAAAUCUGGCGGUUCUGCCGUCCGAGUUGUAAUCUGGAGAAGCGUUUUCUGUGCUGGACCGUGCAUAAGUGUCUUGGAAUAGGACGUCAUAGAGGGUGAGAAUCCCGUCUUUGGCAUGGACUCCCAGUGCUCUGUGAUACGCUCUCAAAGAGUCGAGUUGUUUGGGAAUGCAGCUCAAAAUGGGUGGUAAAUUCCAUCUAAAGCUAAAUAUAGGCGAGAGACCGAUAGCGCACAAGUA
rnacentral:rRNA from 1 species